rnacentral:snRNA from 1 species
AGCUUUGCACAGUGGCAGUAUCGUAGCCAAUGAGGUUUGUCCGAGGCGCGAUUAUUGCUAAUUAAAAACUUUUCCUAAUAAAG